GACGUAGGGCGCGAGCGUUGUCCGGAUUUAUUGGGCGUAAAGAGCUCGUAGGCGGCUUGUCGCGUCGGCUGUGAAAUCCCGUGGCUCAACUGCGGGUCUGCAGCCGAUACGGGCAGGCUAGAGUUCGGUAGGGGAGACUGGAAUUCCGGGUGUAGUGGUGAAAUGCGUAGAGAUCCGGAGGAACCCCAGAGGCGAAGGCGGCAGCCUGGUUGGCUCCUGACGCUCGGACACGACAGCAUGGGGAGCGAACGGG
rnacentral:rRNA from 1 species